GUCGAGGGGUAACAGGAGUAGCUUGCUAUUUGCUGACGACCGGCGCACGGGUGCGUAACGCGUAUAGAAUCUACCUUAUACUGGGGGAUAGCCUUUGGAAACGAAGAUUAAUACCCCAUAGUAUUAUUUUUUGGCAUCAUUAAAUAAUUAAAGUUUCGGCGGUAUAAGAUGACUAUGCGUUCUAUUAGUUAGUUGGUAAGGUAACGGCUUACCAAGACUUCGAUAGAUAGGGGUCCUGAGAGGGAGAUCCCCCACACUGGUACUGAGACACGGACCAGACUNCUACGGGAGGCAGCAGUGAGGAAUAUUGGACAAUGGAGGCAACUCUGAUCCAGCCAUGCCGCGUGUAGGAAGACUGCCCUAUGGGUUGUAAACUACUUUUAUAUGGGAAGAAUAAGAUCUACGUGUAGAUUGAUGACGGUACCAUAAGAAUAAGCACCGGCUAACUCCGUGCCAGCAGCCGCGGUAAUACGGAGGGUGCAAGCGUUAUCCGGAAUCAUUGGGUUUAAAGGGUCCGUAGGCGGGCAUAUAAGUCAGUGGUGAAAGUCUGUGGCUNAACCAUAGAAUUGCCAUUGAUACUGUAUGUCUUGAAUUAUUGUGAAGUGGUUAGANUAUGUAGUGUAGCGGUGAAAUGCUUAGAGAUUACAUAGAAUACCGAUUGCGAAGGCAGAUCACUAACAAUAUAUUGACGCUGAUGGACGAAAGCGUAGGUAGCGAACAGGAUUAGAUACCCUGGUAGUCUACGCCGUAAACGAUGGAUACUAGUUGUUUGGUUUUCGGACUGAGUGACUAAGCGAAAGUGAUAAGUAUCCCACCUGGGGAGUACGUUCGCAAGAAUGAAACUCAAAGGAAUUGACGGGGGCCCGCACNAGCGGUGGAGCAUGUGGUUUAAUUCGAUGAUACGCGAGGAACCUUACCAGGGCUUAAAUGUAGUCUGACAGCUUUAGAGAUAGAGUUUUCUUCGGACAGAUUACAAGGUGCUGCAUGGUUGUCGUCAGCUCGUGCCGUGAGGUGUCAGGUUAAGUCCUAUAACGAGCGCAACCCCUGUGGUUAGUUGCCAGCGAGUAAUGUCGGGAACUCUAGCCAGACUGCCGGUGCAAACCGUGAGGAAGGUGGGGAUGACGUCAAAUCAUCACGGCCCUUACGUCCUGGGCCACACACGUGCUACAAUGGUAGGGACAGAGAGCAGCCACUUAGCGAUAAGGAGCGAAUCUAUAAACCCUAUCUCAGUUCGGAUUGGAGUCUGCAACUCGACUCCAUGAAGCUGGAAUCGCUAGUAAUCGGAUAUCAGCCAUGAUCCGGUGAAUACGUUCCCGGGCCUUGUACACACCGCCCGUCAAGCCAUGGAAGCUGGGGGUACCUGAAGUCCGUCACCGUAAGGA
rnacentral:rRNA from 1 species